GUAUGUCUUUUUUUUUAAUUUUAUUUUUCCUGUUAAGCGCUUAUGUGUGAGUAACUGUAAAAAAAUGAUUGCUUACUAGUAGCACAUAAAUUCAGAGUUAGGAAUGAUGGUAAUGCCAAACAACCACAAAUUUUCCAUAAGGGUGGCUGAGAUAGUGACACUUUUGCCUGCUGAUGGUUCCAGGUACAAAAACUUUUGUACACGAAUUAUAUAAAAUUACCUUCCGGCUAUGUGUAUAAGUUGAACAUGAAACACAAAUUUCAUGUUCAGACGGGUCCCAUCCCCAAUAUAUCUUAUUAUGUAUAUGCAAACAUUCCAAAAUCCCAAGAAAUCGGAAACACUUCCAGUCUCAAGCAUUCCAGGUAAGGACUACCCAACCUGUACUUUCUAUGUAGGCGUAUACUUAUCAUAAAACGCUUUAAAACCAUUUAAUAUAGUUGAAUCCAACUCUUGAAAGCCAGUUUCUGACCCUGCUCAAAGGGCAAUAUUGUAAUGCUUUAAAAGCUCAAGAUUUCCUAUUAAGAUAACACAGAGAACUAAUAGCUAUAUGUUAAGUAGAUUAUUUCAACUGUUCUCUUAAGUGCUACAUUACCACCAAGAACUAGGAUUCCUAACUUGACAGCUAUCAAACUAAAGAAAACUAUCACAUUUUGUAUCUCCAAAGUAGUUUUGAAGUCAUGACCACAUCUUUUCCUCCAAGGAUAACAGUUUUAUUUCCACUCAUUUAACCAAGUCUUUUUUUAAUCUUGUGUCUUUAAUCUAGGGAAUGUCUAUGAACCCUGUAGAUUCCAGGCAAAUUUUAUACAUAUGUAUAUUUUUCUGGGGAGAAUUUUUAUUGCUUCAUAUUCUCAAAAGGCAUCCAUGAUCAAAAAAGUUAAGACUUAAUAUACAGCAAUUUACACGUGGCUAUACCGAACUACUUAUGCUGUCCCGUUAGACACUUUCUCCCUAAUAAUUUGUUCUUAGAACUUAAAAAUUGGCUUAGUAGUACAGCUAACUGAAAAUCACUAAGCAAUGCCCCAAAGCCAUUUUAGCUAUUUGUUUCUAUCAACCUCUCUCCAUGAUAUAUUUCUAAAUAGUAAUUUAAAGGUCAGAACUUCACCUGUCUCACUAUCUCUCCACUCCCCUUUAUAAUGAAAUGCAGGCAGCUGGCUAUACCUAGUUACAAAACUGGGUAUUCUGAAUGAUCAAGAACUGGCUGUGUCUCCAACCGAAGUGAAUAGACAGACCCAGGCAAUCACUCCAGUCUACUACUCAGAGAUUAGAAAGUACAUAAUAUUUAACUCAUCCGGCUCAAUUCUAUUCACUUCUCUUAAUUCUCUUAGUGCAGGAAAAAGGCACGAAUUCCCUCUUCAGAAACCUGGAACAAGCCAGCGCGCUACGUAGAUUACGAGGGGCCACAAAACAGUGUUAAAGCAUUCAUCAGCUCAGUCUGUAACUGAAAAUGGUUUCCCAAACACCUUCGUACGGUAGAACGGCUGCUGCUGGGUGUUUCGCCUUGACCUUCUUUAAGCAAGAAGCAAUAAGAGGGUCACAGGGCACAAGUUAAAGUUGCAAAGGGACAGAAUCAAAGGCGCCUUAUCCGCUGCCAGGGCCAAUUUUAUUUUUUAAAACUUAACUUCCUCCCCUCUGUAUCGCACGCCUCAAGUUUUUCUUUCCCUGCUAUCGUCAGCGAGGAUUACGUCUCAGAUUCUUCGGUCACGGCAUGACACUUAAGCGAUGUGACAAGAUGCCGUCAGCGAAUACUUCACGCCAACAUAAAGUUGUGGGAGAAAUGCUGUAUUUGGGUGGGAAAUGAGCUGCCCCCGUAAUAAAGCCGGUAGGUGUCCGUCUUCUGAGCCUCAGUUUCCCCGACAGUGUGACAAGAGGGCCUGGCAGGGCUGGUCUGGAAGUUCUUCCCUUUCUCGGGGGUGUCCUCCCUGCGGGCCGAGCCCCGCCCUACAGCACCCACCACACCUGUGGCCGAGGGCUCAGCCCCUCCAGUGAGGACGCAGGUGGGGCCCAACCCCGCCCUCCUGACCGGGCCACCCUCACCUCCUGCCACCACCUUUACCUGUCCUCGUUAGCAGGGGACACGCUGCGACGAGAUGACCAAAAGGUCCGUCGCCCCCUCUGUCCCGGGCAAGUUCAUGGCCCAGCCUCCGCCUUGGGCUGACCCAGUCCGCCUCCGCCUCUGCCGCCAACGUCUCCGCCUUCCGGGCCGUACGCCGCCGCCACGUCCGCAAACCUGAGCGGAAAAGAUGUGGUGGUCAAGUCAGCAGACCGAACCCGCGACCCCCAGCGACCUACUGGCUGCGUCUUUGUCCAGCGACCACACGGAGCUGGCAGAGACUGUCGGAGGCACACUGAGGACGAGCCGUGGCUCAGGAUGUGUCCGGGAGCUGUCUUGCAUUUUUUUCUUGCUGUGCAUCUCGAAUUUUCUUUAGGGUGGGGGAGGACACCUCAAAAGCACUGUUGACAUCACAGUUUCAGAAAAUUGCACCAUGCUUGUUACCCUUUUCAUGCUGAAGACUUCAGACUGUUGCCGAAGAAGCAAAAUACUGGAGAGAAACCCUUGGGGGACCAAGGACGAGGGUUGGAGGGGGGUUGUUUCAACUUUUGUGUUUUUAGGUGAGGAAAGUGAGCCACCUAGAGUCAGGCCCCAGGAAAUGUUUUCCCUGGCUGGAGGAGUCAAGGGAGUCAACAAAUUGUAAUGUAACUUAUUUUGGUUUGAAAAUUAACUGAGUCAUUGGUAGUCACCAUUGGACUCUAUGAGCUGUUAGCUUGUUAAAUAACAAACUCAUGACUUCAUACAUGAUUUUUAUCACAAAUGUAUUAAAUGAGUAUGAUAAUGUGUUUGAAUUUAUGUAUUUGAAUAGCAAAACCCGCAAUUACUUUUGCACCAACCUAAUGAAUGUAAAGCAUUUUAAUGAAUCUGAUGUCUCUCAGUGUUGACAUUAGAGAUGUUGCACUUUGACGACCAUGCUAACUGUUACGACAAUACCCAUUUUAGGCACAAAUAGCUGGGGUGCAGGGUGCACAGCAGUGCUUUUCAGAAUGUCUGAAUAUUUAUACAUUAGAAAGCCUUUGAAGCUUGGUUUUAAAUUGUUUUUCAAAGGGUAUGUUUUUGGUUUUCUGGUAAGUGCCUCUGCAAAGGUUAGGAGUUUUGCAUUGCAAUAGUUUUCUUUUAUUUGCAGGGAUAGGAACUGUGCUCCCCAGCGCCACAAAAAGAACUGCAGGAGAAGACGACUUUUGAAGAAAGAUUGUCUGAGUUGUUCUGUGUGUUGUUGCCCUCAUGACAUCCCUGUCUGUAACCAUUUAUCACUGAGACAUUCUCUCAUCAGCAGACAAAGGAUAUAUUCCCUACUUGAUAUGUAGGACUUCGGCUGCUUAGCCCUCAUGAAUGUUAAUGGGACUACAACCUUCUUUCUGUCUAUAGGUUAUUUUUCUUAUUUUAAUGUCAAUAGACAGCGGAAUUAAUGUGAGUCAAAGUGAUAGAUUUCAAGCACCUCUAUAGGACCAAUACCUGUAUCCUUCAUAUAAACAACUUUCUCAAAGAUAUCUGCAUGCUCUUGAAUCGUUAUUUGUAUUUCACAAGGAUGCAAAUAUUAAGCUUUUUAUAAAAAUGCAAGAAUAGGGUUAUAUUUUAUUAUUAGAAUAUACAAAAGAAGCGGUGAGCGUGAAUUUUGGCGAAGUUCCAGAAAGCUGGCCAGUUGGAACAAGCAUUUUGUCUUUAAGAAAAAGGAUGUCCCCAGUGCUCAGCAGAGCCAAAAGGAUUUUUAGUGCUUCAAAAUCUUAUCUGACACAGUUUCUGUUAAAAGGCUAUAGAUGAAAUAAUAUGUAAUUUCUAGGAAUAUGUUUUAGUGACUAACGUUUAGUUUUUGUAAGUUGCCCCAGAAUAGAAGUUGUACUGAAGUGAGAGUGUAAAUUGAUGCAUCCUGUUAGGCAGUAUGUAUCAAAAUUAGAAAUGCAAUUGACUGAACUAUUACAUUGCUAAGUAAUUACCUUAGAUUUACUUACAGAUACACAUAUGUAAGAUUUAACAGAUAUGUUCAGGAAUGUUUGCACAGCAAUAGCAAAAAUCUAAAAACAUUCUAAAUGUUUAUCAGUAGUUGACUGAUACUUCUGGUACAUUAAAACAAUAUAAUGUUAUACUUGGGUUCAAAAGAGUGAAGUUAAUCUGGCAUUUGCUGAUUUAUUCAUUCAUUUACCUAAGAAGUUUUUGUUGAAGAAAAACAGUGCUUAAAAAGACAAAUUCCACUUACUUGUGGAGCUUGAAUGACUAAAGCAUAUAGAACUUUAAAAUGUUUUUAGUCUAUUUUCAGAAGAAAAGAUAGGACAGGAGGUAUGAUGUUAUUUCUAUGGAAUAAAAUUUUAAAUAAGCAUCUCCCAUCCUACCCCCCGUACCCUGCCGACACACACACAUACACAUUCACACACACACACAUGCAGAGAGAUGCAUUUAAUUUUUCCAUUUGGAAAGUUACUCAAGGAAUUUUAACAGUGGCUGAAAAGGACUAGACAUGGCAGGGGAGUAGGCAGGAGAUUUUGCCUUUUCCUCUUAGAACUUUCUAUAUAGAUUGAAUUUUUAUUACUACAUGCUUUUAUUAUUAUAUUAAGAAUUAACACAUUUUAUUUUUAAGUAACUGGACUUGUUUAUCUGGAGCUAACCUAUAAUUAACCAUCCAUCUCUUAGUCAUUCCUGAGUCUGUUUGUACUUUGUAUUCAAGUGGCAAAUGUCUGGAGAAAAGAACCAGAUCAAUUCUCUCAUAAAUCAAAAAAUGAAAGGGUAACAAAACAUUGAAUUCUUUUUACAUGUCUUCUUGAUUUUCCUCUUUCUGAUUUCUUUCAACCCUGCUCUUUUACUCUCUCCUCCUUCCUAUUAUUCCUAUUUCUAUCCUCUUAGCAGCCUUUUCUGUCCAGUUUCUACUUUUCAGAAGCAGAACUAGAAAGAACUGUUGGACAAUAAGGAAAUACUGUAAGUAAUCUGAAAUGAAGUUAAAUUGGAUUAUGGAGUGAAACUUUUAAAAAACAAACAAACAAACAAAAACCUCCUACAUCUCUGAUCUUCAAAUAACCUAUGUAGAGAGAAAAUUAUUGUGUCUUUUCUCUCGAAGUCUUGGAAAAAACCAGACUGGAUGAUUUGGAUAUGUUCUGCUAGCAUAUGUACUACGUGACCUCUCUAGCUGCCUUUAAUCCUGUGAUUUUUAAACAUAGUGAUUAUUGUAAUCAUGGCUUUGCCAUAAUGUGGACAAAAGAAGAGUCACGUAUGCUUCAGGAAUCCAAAGCUGUUUAUAAAUGCUAGUAAUUAAUUCAUGGAUCCUAAACAUGACUUGAAAACAAUCAUCUUCACAUCUUCAUCCAUGCAGACACGAUGAAAACUAGCCUCACAAAUACUAUCCUUACACUCUUUAGCUAGGUGAUUGGUACACAUAGAAAGGAACAGUUACAUAUUUAUAUUUAAGUAGACUGUAAUUUGAAAUGCUUUGUUUCCCAUGGUCUUUAUAAUCACUACUGUCACAUAGAUCAGUGCAGGUGAAUUCCCCCGGAACCUUCAUCCUGCUUGUUUCUGUGCCUACUUCUUCAGAGAUUUAAGAUGAUAAGACAGAACGUAAUUAAGUUCACUAAACCAAAGGAAAACCUGAGGCAUGACCCAGUCUAUGGAAUUGGGUAAUGGUAGAUAGUGAUAACCCAGAAGUGGAGAGCAAGUCAAAAUGGAGUACAGAGAGUAGACAUCCAGUUUGAUUUCUUAGGCCUUCAGCACUGCAUUCACAGAGACAGGAAAGCUAGCGAGUGGGGAAGAAUAAAAAGAAUGGAAGAGGCAACAGCAUCUUCUCUUUCUAGUCUAGGCCUUUCCAGAUAGAGACCACUUCUGUGACCAUCCUCAGCUUAGUCAACACUGACAAAACCAAAAAAGAAUUUCAAAAGCAAAACUUCCGUGCUCAAAAAAUAAUAAUAGUGAGGUGUAUAUGCAUACCUAAAAUGAAGGUAGUUGCUUAUCUGACAAAAUAUAGACAGAAAUUACAUCUAUUCAUUCAACAAAUGUUAAUUAAGCAGCAACUGUGUUUCAAAUCCUGCUUUAAUAAAGCACUAGGGACAUGCAAUGAACAAACCCAAAUCUUUGCCCACGUGGAGCGUAUAUUCUUGUGAUGAAAGAUAAAUAAAUGAAAUUGUGUUAGAUGGUGGUAAGUGAAUGGAGGAACACUCAAUAGGGUAGGAGCUGCAGUGUUUUGGGUUGGGGGAGAGUCUCCACCCUAUGAAAAUUCUCUCUCCCUGAGAAAGUAGCUGUGCCUGGAGUAUUGGAGGAACAACAAAGAUACCAGCAUGGCUGGAGCAGAUUGCCGAAGGAGGGAGCCUUAGGAGAAGAGGUCAGAGGGAGCCAAAUGGGAUAGGACUCUAUCGGCCAUUGCAAGGACUUGAGCUUUCGCCCUGAGCAAGACGGGAAACCACUGGAGGGUUCUGAGCAGAGGAGGUCAUCAUCUACCUUUUAAAAGGAUCCCAUAGGAAAGUGAGGGCAGCAGCAGGGAGAUCAGUUAGGAGGAAACUGUAGUAAUUCAGGCAAGAGGGAAGAUGUCUCAAAUUAGAGAAAAACAUCAAAUAUCACAUUGAUGUGGAUUAAAAAUACUUGAUUUAAGAAUUUUUUUUUGAAAACCCCCGACUCUAUGAGGAUGCUCAAUUUUAGUUUUAAAGAUAUUUUUCACUAGUUCCUUCUUGCAUACUUUGAUUAAUGACUCUAUACCGGGGCCUCUUUUCCCCAUUAAUUCUAAAUAAGCCAGAUUUACCACUGUAGCAAUUGUUGGAUCUAAGUAAAGUUUCCAUUCCGCCCUCUCACCAUGUUUUCUUUUAUUUACAGUUAAGAUUGAGCUGAAUUUUUUCCCCUUCUUCCAAGCCUUAAUCCUAUCUGGCUUCUAAAUCCCUUCAGAAUUAUUUGAAGCAAAGAAUGCCUGCUGAUUUCAAAGAAGAUUUUACACUUGGACUUACUCGGUGGGGUAUAUAAGCAAGGGUCGUGGAGGCUUCCUUCCUUUCCAUCCAGAACAAUGUGUUUGGCAAUGAUACACACUGAUCAAUGAGCAAUCUGUUAGUAAGAAACAUACAAAAGCUCAUUUCUUUGAUUUGUUGUUUUGAAAAAUACUUAUUUUUGUUUGGAGUAUUUUUCAGUUUAAAAUCUAAUCUGUUAUUUUGUAGAAUAAUCAAUUUAUAUUAGUUGAAACUUGAUUAACUUUUCUUUUAUUACCCUGUCCUUAAGCUCAUACUACAGAUUUGGUUAUAUAUCGCAUAACAAUAUAAAUGAACACUUGUUUUAUAAAGAUCUCAAAUUCUAUUGUCUCAAUCAUUUCAUUGAAAGAUAAAUAUUACUACACCAAUCUUCUAAGGAAAAUUUCUUGUGUGUUAUUCCUGGCUUUGGACAGGAUAAUGUUUAUAGGCUUUGUAUUUAAUGCUGAUGCAAUAGAAGGCAUAUUUUAAAAGAAUCGCUUUUCUGUAUACAAAUAUUAGGAUUGCUUGUAAGGCAAAGACAUAAAAGCAUUACAUAAUCUAUUCUAGUAAAAUAGAGAUGUUAGCCCUUUGACUGUAUUUGGUUUUAGCAACUGAACAGAAUAGUUUCAAAAUGAGUAUGGUGAAAAUAGACAAAGGAUUUAUAGUAAGUUUUUUCCCCCUGCUCUGUGUUACCUCUCAUGAGCCUUGUUCAUUUUUUUCUCAAUAUCUGCCAUUACUCAUUAAAAUUCUAGUUUCAUAAAAA